ACACAUGCAAGUCGAACGGCAGCAUGAUCUAGCUUGCUAGAUUGAUGGCGAGUGGCGAACGGGUGAGUAAUACAUCGGAACGUGCCCUGUAGGGGGGGAUAACUAGUCGAAAGAUUAGCUAAUACCGCAUACGACCUGAGGGUGAAAGUGGGGGACCGCAAGGCCUCAUGCUAUAGGAGCGGCCGAUGUCUGAUUAGCUAGUUGGUGGGGUAAAGGCCCACCAAGGCGACGAUCAGUAGCUGGUCUGAGAGGACGAUCAGCCACACUGGGACUGAGACACGGCCCAGACUCCUACGGGAGGCAGCAGUGGGGAAUUUUGGACAAUGGGGGCAACCCUGAUCCAGCAAUGCCGCGUGUGUGAAGAAGGCCUUCGGGUUGUAAAGCACUUUUGUCCGGAAAGAAAUCGCACUUACUAAUAUUAGGUGUGGAUGACGGUACCGGAAGAAUAAGGACCGGCUAACUACGUGCCAGCAGCCGCGGUAAUACGUAGGGUCCAAGCGUUAAUCGGAAUUACUGGGCGUAAAGCGUGCGCAGGCGGUUGUGC
rnacentral:rRNA from 1 species